rnacentral:rRNA from 1 species
AUUGAACGCUGGCGGCAGGCUUAACACAUGCAAGUCGAGCGGAGAGAGGUAGCUUGCUACUGAUCUUAGCGGCGGACGGGUGAGUAAUGCUUAGGAAUCUGCCUAUUAGUGGGGGACAACAUUUCGAAAGGAAUGCUAAUACCGCAUACGUCCUACGGGAGAAAGCAGGGGAUCUUCGGACCUUGCGCUAAUAGAUGAGCCUAAGUCGGAUUAGCUAGUUGGUGGGGUAAAGGCCUACCAAGGCGACGAUCUGUAGCGGGUCUGAGAGGAUGAUCCGCCACACUGGGACUGAGAAACGGCCCAGGCUCCUACGGGAGGCAGCAGUGGGGAAUAUUGGACAAUGGGCGGAAGCCUGAUCCAGCCAUGCCGCGUGUGUGAAGAAGGCCUUAUGGUUGUAAAGCACUUUAAGCGAGGAGGAGGCUACUUUAGUUAAUACCUAGAGAUAGUGGACGUUACUCGCAGAAUAAGCACCGGCUAACUCUGUGCCAGCCGCCGCCGUAAUAC